rnacentral:rRNA from 1 species
AUCAACCUGACUUAAGCCGUGAUUACCCGCAGAAAUUAAACCAUAUCAUUCAAGCAGAAGAAAAAAAAUUAAUAGGAUCACUUAACAACCGGAAGUGAAAACU